GACGAACGCUGGCGGCGUGCCUAAUACAUGCAAGUCGAGCGCAGGAAACCGUCUGAACCCUUCGGGGGGACGACGGUGGAAUGAGCGGCGGACGGGUGAGUAACACGUAAAGAACCUGCCCACGGGUCUGGGAUAACCACGAGAAAUCGGGGCUAAUACCGGACGGGUCAUCGGACCGCAUGGUCCGAGGAUGAAAGGCGCUCCGGCGUCGCCCGUGGAUGGCUUUGCGGUGCAUUAGCUAGUUGGUGGGGUAACGGCCCACCAAGGCGACGAUGCAUAGCCGACCUGAGAGGGUGAUCGGCCACACUGGGACUGAGACACGGCCCAGACUCCUACAGGAGGCAGCAGUAGGGAAUCUUCCACAAUGGACGAAAGUCUGAUGGAGCAACGCCGCGUGAACGAUGAAGGCCCUCGGGUCGUAAAGUUCUGUUGUAAGGGAAGAACAAGUGCCGCAGGCAAUGGCGGCACCUUGACGGUACCUUGCGAGAAAGCCACGGCUAACUACGUGCCAGCCGCCGCAGUAA
rnacentral:rRNA from 1 species